rnacentral:rRNA from 1 species
GAUGAACGCUGGCGGCGUGCUUAACACAUGCAAGUCGAGCGGACGGACGAGAAUUUUACCUUCGUGAUGUUUGCGGCGAAUGUGGGAGCAACACGUGGAGAACCUCCUUAGAAAACUGCGAUAUAUACGGGAAUCAGUAUCUAAUAUCGGAGAAUAUACUGCAUCGCAUGGUUCAAAAGCGAAGGUCGGUGUGACUGACUCUUAUAGUAGGAUCUGCGCUGGAUUAGCUAGUUGUGAAGGGAACGGCCUACGAAGGCAACGAUGCCUAGCCCACCUCAGAGGGUGGUCGGCCAGCCUGGAAGUGAGACGCGGCCCAGACUCCUGGGGGAGGCAGCAGUAGGGAAUCUUACGCAAUGGGCGAGAGCCUGACGGAGCAACACCGCGUGAGUGAUGAAGGUCCUCGGAUCGUAAAACUCUGUUAUUAGGGGGGAGCAUAUGUGUAAGUAGCUGUGCAGAUAGUGACGGUACCUGAUCAAGAAGCCACGGCUAACUACGUG